rnacentral:rRNA from 1 species
AUUGAACGCUGGCGGCAGGCCUAACACAUGCAAGUCGAGCGAGCGGCGGACGGGUGAGUAAUGUAUGGGGACUGCCCGAUAGAGGGGGAAAACUACUGGAAACGGUGGCUAAUACCGCAAACUAUCGGAUAACCACUAUGGGAUUAGCUAGUAGGUGGGGUAAAGGCUCACCGAGGCGACAAUCGAUAGCUGGUCUGAGAGGAGGAGCAGCCACACUGGGACUGAGACACGGCCCAGACUCGUACGGAGGCAGCAGAGGAGAAUCUUGCACAAGGGGCGAAAGCCUGAUGGAGCCAUGCCGCGUGUGUGACGAGGGCCUUAGGUUUGUAAAGUACUUGUGGCGGGGAGGCGUUACCCGCUGAAGAAGCACCGGCUAACUCCGUGCCAGCAGCCGCGGUAAUUC